rnacentral:rRNA from 1 species
AGGUUGGGGCGACCGCGGAGUACAAUAAAACCUCCACAAUGAAUGGGAACACCCCCUUAUCUGAGGGCCACACCCCCUAAGAAUUAGAACACUAACAUAAAAUGAUCCAUUAUUUGAUCAAUGAACCAAGUUACCCUGGGGAUAACAGCGCAAUCCAUUUCAAGAGCCCCUAUCGACAAAUGGGUUUACGACCUCGAUGUUGGAUCAGGGUACCCCAGUGGUGCAGCAGCUACUAACGGUUCGUUUGUUCAACGAUUAAAACCCU